rnacentral:lncRNA from 1 species
AGCCUCAGUUUUAAAGAACUAAACCCUCCAAGAGAACAGACAAAUGUUAGGAGUUCUAGAAAGAAAAUGGAACACCAUGGUGGCUGAUAGAAAUGGAUUGAACUCGGGACCUUGCGCUUGCGAGGCAGGCGGCAGAACCACUGAGCUAAAUCCCCAGCCCUUGUAACAACUAAUAUUAUUGAAAGAAAGUUACAUUAUCUUCAUUCGAUGAACAUUGGAAACGACAAUUUCUACAUGUGUGAAGGAUAUAUUGAAGGCUUGUGGUUUACAGACAAGAUCUUUAGAAAUUAGACACUCAAGAUGCAAUGAACAAGAUUAUAUCACCUUUCAGACUGAUUAGCCAACCUCUGAGUAGGCAGAUUGGUCAUUGCCCACAGUCAUCUAACUGUUAGAACUGCUACAGAUCAUCAAAGAAUUCUACUCUCUCAUUUUAUAGGUAAUGAAUUAAGCCAAAAUGGUGAGAUGUCUAAGUUAAAAAGAGAAUUUGAAUGGA